rnacentral:tRNA from 1 species
GUGAGUGUAGCUCAGUGGUAGAGCUCCGGAUUGUGGUUCCGGCUGUCGCGGGUUCGAUCCCCGUCACUCACCCCA